AUUGAACGCUGGCGGAAUGCUUUACACAUGCAAGUCGAACGGCAGCACGGACUUCGGUCUGGUGGCGAGUGGCGAACGGGUGAGUAAUAUAUCGGAACGUGCCCAGUCGUGGGGGAUAACGUAGUGAAAAUUACGCUAAUACCGCAUACGAUCUAUGGAUGAAAGCGGGGGAUCGCAAGACCUCGCGCGAUUGGAGCGGCCGAUAACAGAUUAGGUAGUUGGUGAGGUAAAGGCUCACCAAGCCGACGAUCUGUAGCUGGUCUGAGAGGACGACCAGCCACACUGGAACUGAGACACGGUCCAGACUCCUACGGGAGGCAGCAGUGGGGAAUUUUGGACAAUGGACGCAAGUCUGAUCCAGCCAUUCCGCGUGCAGGACGAAGGCCUUCGGGUUGUAAACUGCUUUUGUACAGAACGAAAAGGUCUCUAUUAAUACUAGGGGCUCAUGACGGUACUGUAAGAAUAAGCACCGGCUAACUACGUGCCAGCAGCCGCCGCAG
rnacentral:rRNA from 1 species